UACGAAGGGAGCGAGCGUUGUUCGGAAUCACUGGGCAUAAAGAGCACGUAGGCGGCCUCGUCAGUCAGUUGUGAAAUCCUCCGGCUUAACCGGAGAACUGCAUCUGAUACUGCGAGGCUAGAGUGCGGGAGGGGAGAGUGGAACUCCUGGUGGAGCGGUGAAAUGCGUAGAUAUCAGGAGGAACGCCCGUGGCGAAAGCGACUCUCUGGACCGCCACUGACGCUGAGGUGCGAAAGCUAGGGUAGCAAACAGG
rnacentral:misc_RNA from 1 species